UACGUAGGCAGCGAGCGUUGUUCGGAGUUACUGGGCGUAAAGGGUGUGUAGGCGGUUCUUUUAAGUUUGGUGUGAAAUCUCCCGGCUCAACCGGGAGGGUGCGCCGAAAACUGGGGGACUCGAGUGCGGGAUGGGAGAGUAGAAUUCCUGGUGUAGCGGUGAAAUGCGUAGAUAUCAGGAGGAAUACCGGUGGUGCAGACGGCUCUCUGGACCGCAACUGACGCUGAGACACGAAAGCGUGGGUAGCAAACAGG
rnacentral:rRNA from 1 species